AAUAAAGUGGCUGAAGAAAGGGUGGUGAUUUGUAAAUUUAUAAAGAAGUUGCAUAUUUUUUUA
rnacentral:tRNA from 1 species